ACAUGUCGAGGCAGAGCGAGGCACACGAGAAGAGAUUUACAAAAUCAGAUAUUAUCCGCUAUAAUCAUCUCUAGGAGCAACUACUCCGAAUGUUUGAGAGUCGUUUAAGCGGUAUCAGAAGCUAUAUAAGUUCCUAUAAUGAGCCCGACUGUGUUGUAAAACAAAAGCUUCAGAUUGUUGGUACUAGUUAGCGAUACGCUGCGUAAAACAGAGACGGGAAAAAGCAAAAUGAAUUUAAUUAGCAUCGAAUGGUUUUUAAUCUAAUAGCAUACGUCCGACUAUUGGAGCAAUGCAGUUUUACCGAUGUCUUUCACAUGGUUCGGCCGAUUUCACCAAAUCUUAAUAAAAUUCUACUGGUAUCUGCAUGGAAUAAGCAUAUGGUAUGCUGGUGAUAAACGGUUCAGCUUGGGAACCCCGCACCGUCUACGCAACCAGUUUUGAUCAGGUUACUCUUACAUCCAACUGGUGGCACAAGACAAUUUACUCGGUCAUGAUAAUUGUAAUAAUAAACAAGUACAUGCACAAAGCGGCAGACAAUACAACCAUAUCUUGCCGUCAGUUUUUUUAUUCAGUCUGUUUCUUUGGAAAGGUACGGUACCGGUGAAGCCCGCCGGUGUCAAAUUUUUUGUUAUGAAUUCUAACUUCCUAAAACUGGAAGGUUAUCAAGUUUAAUAGGAUUUAAAACUAAGAAAAAAAUUUAAACUAUCUGAAACUAGUUCAAUAUACAAUAUGUGCAUGGAAGAUCA